UAAUUUCAGAAUGUUUCAUUAAGAUUGUUUUAAUUUUGUACUGAAAACACUUUUUUAGUUUGCGAUUUUAUCGUUUUAAAACUGAUAAAAUGCGUAUCAGGUCAUUUAUAUGUACUCAAUGGAUCCGUUAUCAUCACAAUGCAGACUAACCCUAUAUUAAGAAGAUAACACGACUAACCCUAUAUCAGGAAGAUAACACGUUCAUAUUGAUUGUAGAUGUCCGUGUUAUGAAUUAUGUCGUACACUGAAAUGAUUCGACAGGUUACAUUAUUGAAUUAGCAAAUCUUCAAAUGGGCAGGGUGUUACGAGAUGAUUUACUAGUAUACUAGUAUCACACGUAUUUGAACAACACAUAGCUAAGUUCGUUUGGUAUUAAUGCCAACAUAAAAGGUUGACAAAAUUUUAAUUUUGGAUUGCCGGAUCGUGAAGUUGUGAUCUCAGUGAACGUAAUCAGUAUAAUACAAAUUAAUUUCUUCAGCAGGACUACCGCUACAAUAAAUUGCAGUGAAAUGUAAUCCAAUUAAAACAGAACACGAAGCUAGAAGAGAAAAACAGGAAAUGAGCGCGCAUGAAGUUAAAGAGAAGAGCACACAGACGGAAUAUAUUGACAUUCAGAUAGAGCUUGAAAAUCAACGCAAGACAGCCAUACAACAACUAACUGAAGAGGGCAAAGAUACAAGAACUAGAAACCAGCCUUCUACAAGCGAAUGUUGAGAUAAAGAACUUGCAAUUUAAGUUACAG
rnacentral:lncRNA from 1 species